AGAGUUUGAUCCUGGCUCAGGAUGAACGCUGGCGGCGUGCCUAAUACAUGCAAGUCGAGCGAACGGACGAGAAGCUUGCUUCUCUGAUGUUAGCGGCGGACGGGUGAGUAACACGUGGAUAACCUACCUAUAAGACUGGGAUAACUUCGGGAAACCGGAGCUAAUACCGGAUAAUAUUUUGAACCGCAUGGUUCAAAAGUGAAAGACGGUCUUGCUGUCACUUAUAGAUGGAUCCGCGCUGCAUUAGCUAGUUGGUAAGGUAACGGCUUACCAAGGCAACGAUGCAUAGCCGACCUGAGAGGGUGAUCGGCCACACUGGAACUGAGACACGGUCCAGACUCCUACGGGAGGCAGCAGUAGGGAAUCUUCCGCAAUGGGCGAAAGCCUGACGGAGCAACGCCGCGUGAGUGAUGAAGGUCUUCGGAUCGUAAAACUCUGUUAUUAGGGAAGAACAUAUGUGUAAGUAACUGUGCACAUCUUGACGGUACCUAAUCAGAAAGCCACGGCUAACUACGUGCCAGCAGCCGCGGUAAUACGUAGGUGGCAAGCGUUAUCCGGAAUUAUUGGGCGUAAAGCGCGCGUAGGCGGUUUUUUAAGUCUGAUGUGAAAGCCCACGGCUCAACCGUGGAGGGUCAUUGGAAACUGGAAAACUUGAGUGCAGAAGAGGAAAGUGGAAUUCCAUGUGUAGCGGUGAAAUGCGCAGAGAUAUGGAGGAACACCAGUGGCGAAGGCGACUUUCUGGUCUGUAACUGACGCUGAUGUGCGAAAGCGUGGGGAUCAAACAGGAUUAGAUACCCUGGUAGUCCACGCCGUAAACGAUGAGUGCUAAGUGUUAGGGGGUUUCCGCCCCUUAGUGCUGCAGCUAACGCAUUAAGCACUCCGCCUGGGGAGUACGACCGCAAGGUUGAAACUCAAAGGAAUUGACGGGGACCCGCACAAGCGGUGGAGCAUGUGGUUUAAUUCGAAGCAACGCGAAGAACCUUACCAAAUCUUGACAUCCUUUGACAACUCUAGAGAUAGAGCCUUCCCCUUCGGGGGACAAAGUGACAGGUGGUGCAUGGUUGUCGUCAGCUCGUGUCGUGAGAUGUUGGGUUAAGUCCCGCAACGAGCGCAACCCUUAAGCUUAGUUGCCAUCAUUAAGUUGGGCACUCUAAGUUGACUGCCGGUGACAAACCGGAGGAAGGUGGGGAUGACGUCAAAUCAUCAUGCCCCUUAUGAUUUGGGCUACACACGUGCUACAAUGGACAAUACAAAGGGCAGCGAAACCGCGAGGUCAAGCAAAUCCCAUAAAGUUGUUCUCAGUUCGGAUUGUAGUCUGCAACUCGACUACAUGAAGCUGGAAUCGCUAGUAAUCGUAGAUCAGCAUGCUACGGUGAAUACGU
rnacentral:rRNA from 13 species